AUUAAAAAAUCAAUUAUACAUAUUUAAGGUUUGUAUGUUUCGAAAUUUUGAUUCCGUAAUUAUAUGUAUGAUACAAUCAUUUUAAAUAGAUGCAUGUGAAUAGGAGAGGGAGGCCUGGAGUCUCUGUCAAUAGCUGUAAGAAAGGACCAGUAGCUACCAUUGGAAACUCUAUAUAUGUGACUAUAUACAAGAAAAGAAAGAAAACAUUUCUACAUAUACAUUUGUGUGUAAGAGCAAUGAAGGCACUGCUGAAACACAAAGAUGGAUGGCCAUGUUUCUGGAUUCAUUUAUGAUCAAGGCCUGUCUUUCAGCAGUUAUUUUGCAUAAGCUCUUAUUGUCGCUGCAACUUGUCUGCUAUAAAUAUAUAUAUAUGUUGGCCUGAGAGAUUGAAGCUGCCAGCAUGAUCUGGUAACAUCCCCAGUAUUUCAUCUUUCUUUCUUUCUCCCACAUAGGUCAAUUACUAGCUGCUGUACUACCUAUCUAGCUAGUCACCCAAAUUUGAUCAAAUUAUGUUGAUGUGUACUUACCUAACAUAUACUAACAAAUUCAUUUACCAUAUAUCCAUUGACGGAAUCAAGAUCUCGAAACAGUUCGGCAGUCAGUGAUUAUAUUGGAAUAGUAUGGUAUAUAUAGACACAUCCUAGGCAAGUAGGUAGCAUUAGAAUAGAUACAGUUUGUUCCAUCAGGUCAUCUUGCAGCUUCAAUCACUCAGUACCAACAAUUCAAAAUGAUUGAAUAUCAGUGAUCAGUACCCAUGUUUCUUCUUUCGUGCUUGAUGGGAAUUAAGUUUGCAGAUAUAUACCUGACUCAACAAGUAAGACAAAUUCCAGGACACGAGAUAGACUUUUCUUCCUAAUAAAAAGUUCAGUUACUGUUGUAUGCUUUUUAUUGUAUUUUCUCUAGAUUAGUAGAAUAGAAUACGACUAGUACUGUUUCAUUGUCAUAAUUAAAUCUGAAUGAUACUUUUAAAUAAGCUUUUAGGGCCAGCAUGCUUAGUAUUUGAAACUCUUUUACGCAUGAAAUAUAGUUUUUGUGUUGAGUCAGUUA